rnacentral:sRNA from 1 species
GCUGGGCACAGGAGCAUGUGCCUAUAGUCCCAGAUACUUGGGAGGCUGAGGUAGCAGGAUCAUUUGAUUCCAGGAGUUCAAGAUCAGCCUGGACAACAAGGUGAAAACCUGUCUCAA